UGGGGAAUAUUGGGCAAUGGGCGCAAGCCUGACCCAGCCACGCCGCGUGAGUGAUGAAGGUCUUCGGAUCGUAAAGCUCUGUGGAGAGGGAAGAAACCUUCGAGGGAACAAUACCCCUCGGACUUGACGGUACCUCUUUAGCAAGCACCGGCUAACUCCGUGCCAGCAGCCGCGGUAAUACGGAGGGUGCAAACGUUGCUCGGAAUCAUUGGGCGUAAAGCGUGUGUAGGCGGUCUGUUAAGUCGGGUGUGAAAGCCCUGGGCUCAACCCAGGAAGUGCAUUCGAAACUAGCAGACUUGAGUACGGGAGAGGGUCGCGGAAUUCCCGGUGUAGAGGUGAAAUUCGUAGAUAUCGGGAGGAACACCAGUGGCGAAGGCGGCGACCUGGACCGAUACUGACGCUGAGACACGAAAGCGUGGGGAGCAAACAGGAUUAGAUACCCCGGUAGUCC
rnacentral:rRNA from 1 species